rnacentral:snoRNA from 1 species
AGCCCAUGAGUCGGGCAUUUGAGCAAAAGCUUCUUGAAUCUCACCCACGUUUCAUGAAUGGGUUCCCCUUCCCAUCGCUUGAAUCCUUGAAUAUCGUCUCUGAGCUU